rnacentral:tRNA from 11 species
UGGUCUCGUGGUAUGACGCCUGUCUGGAAUGCCAGAGGUCGCAAAUUCAAAUCU